rnacentral:rRNA from 1 species
UACGUAGGAUGCAAGCGUUGUCCGGAUUUACUGGGCGUAAAGGGCGCGUAGGCGGCCAGCACAAGUCAGUUGUGAAAUCUCCGGGCUUAACUCGGAAAGGUCAACUGAUACUGUGCGGCUAGAGUGCAGAAGGGGCAACUGGAAUUCUCGGUGUAGCGGUGAAAUGCGUAGAUAUCGAGAGGAACACCUGCGGCGAAGGCGGGUUGCUGGGCUGACACUGACGCUGAUGCGCGAAAGCCAGGGGAGCGAACGGG